UAGGGAAUCUUCGGCAAUGGACGGAAGUCUGACCGGGCAACGCCGCGUGAGUGAAGAAGGUUUUCGGAUCGUAAAGCUCUGUUGUUAGAGAAGAACGUUGGUAGGAGUGGAAAAUCUACCAAGUGACGGUAACUAACCAGAAAGGGACGGCUAACUACGUGCCAGCAGCCGCGGUAAUACGUAGGUCCCGAGCGUUGUCCGGAUUUAUUGGGCGUAAAGCGAGCGCAGGCGGUUCUUUAAGUCUGAAGUUAAAGGCAGUGGCUUAACCAUUGUACGCUUUGGAAACUGGAGGACUUGAGUGCAGAAGGGGAGAGUGGAAUUCCAUGUGUAGCGGUGAAAUGCGUAGAUAUAUGGAGGAACACCGGUGGCGAAAGCGGCUCUCUGGUCUGUAACUGACGCUGAGGCUCGAAAGCGUGGGGAGCAAACAGGAUUAGAUACCCUGGUAGUCCACGCCGUAAACGAUGAGUGCUAGGUGUUAGGCCCUUUCCGGGGCUUAGUGCCGCAGCUAACGCAUUAAGCACUCCGCCUGGGGAGUACGACCGCAAGGUUG
rnacentral:rRNA from 1 species